CAUUUCAACAACUGUUAGAGGCUAUUACCACUCCCGUUGCAUGCAAGAAAAUUAGCUGUAAUUGGAUGAGAAAAAAGAUUCAAGAAGAUUGAGUGGCUUCCUAAGAUGUGUAAGGGCUUGGAACACUGGAGAUUUUUUUUAUGUGUUUUUUUUUUUUUUUUUAUCAAAAGUCACCAGAUGGAAAAUGACAAAGUCAGUCAAAGGAGCCCAGGGACACAGGGAGAUCACCACCUACAAGUCAAACAACAUUUGAGGCUACCAGAAGCUAGGAGAGAAGAAUGGUACAGACCAUCCCUCACAACCUUCAGUAGGAACCUCCCAUGCUGAUACCUUGAUCUUGGACCUCUGUCCUCCCGAACUGUGACACAAUACAUUUCUGUUGUUUAAGCUACCCAAUGUGUAGUAUUUUGUUCCGAUACCCUCUAGAAAAUCAAUACACUUAAAAUUUAGUAAAUAGAAUUGAGGUCUUUGUUAAAACAUUAAAUGAGUAAACAAAAAACAUGCAAACAAAAAACUGGCACUCUGCAUUUUUUUUCAUAAUUUGAAAUUUUGUAUGAAAAGAAAGAUUUUAAAAAAAAUUAGGUGGCAGUUGAUUAUUUCAGUGCAUGAAACAUUUUAUUUGCCUGGAAAGAAACUAUUUUUAUAAUCAGGAAAAAAUAAAACUCUUCAA
rnacentral:lncRNA from 1 species